GCUUAAGGACUAUGGAGUGGAUCUCAUUGAAGUUUCAGACAAUGGAUGUGGGGUAGAAGAAGAAAACUUUGAAGGCUUAACGAUGUCACCAUUUCUACCUGCCACGCAUCGGCGAAGGUUGGGACUCGACUGGUGUUUGAUCACUAUGGGAAAAUCAUCCAGAAAACCCCCUACCCCCACCCCAGAGGGAUGACAGUCAGCGUGAAGCAGUUAUUUUCUACACUACCUGUGC
rnacentral:lncRNA from 1 species